rnacentral:rRNA from 1 species
CGGGUGAGUAACGCGUAUCCAACCUGCCGUCUACUCUUGGACAGCCUUCUGAAAGGAAGAUUAAUACAAGAUGGCAUCAUGAGUCCGCAUGUUCACAUGAUUAAAGGUAUUCCGGUAGACGAUGGGGAUGCGUUCCAUUAGAUAGUAGGCGGGGUAACGGCCCACCUAGUCUUCGAUGGAUAGGGGCUCUGAGAGGAAGGUCCCCCACAUUGGAACUGAGACACGGUCCAA